rnacentral:rRNA from 1 species
AAUGAACGUUGGCGGCGUGGAUUAGGCAUGCAAGUCGAGCGAGAAUUUCCCGCAAGGGAGAGGACAGCGGCGAAAGGGAGAGUAACACGUGGAUACCUACCCCUGGAUCUGGGAUAGCUGCGGGAAACUGCAGGUAAUACCAGAUAAUGUCUCCGGACCAAAGGUGUGAUUCCGUCCGGGGAGGGGUCCGCGUCCUAUUAGCUUGUUGGUGGGGUAACGGCCUACCAAGGCUUUGAUGGGUAUGGGGUAUGAGAGUAUGCCCCCACUCACUGGGACUGAGACACUGCCCAGACACCUACGGGUGGCUG